UUAUUGUGGUGUCAAGUUGAAAGCUUUGAUAUCAGACAGUCAUUUGCUUUAAUCUACACCGUCUCAGUCACCCAUACCUACAAGAAUACUGUAGGAAAGUGUUGAUUCUUUUGUUCUUCAACUGUUGUGUGUUUGUUUGUUUGUUUGCAACAGACGACUCUUUAUCAAUUAGCAGGUUCUUUCAUUCAGCAAUUGGUGCGCAGGUGGGCUGUUCUCGCUUUGAUGAUUUCGUCUUGGCUCUUGUUGAGAUUCAACAAUAGGACACAUCUGAACCGUCCAGGUCACUGGGUCUGUUUUUGGCAGGACAGAAUCUUACUGAAGAUCCCAGCAGACCUUAUAAGUUCUGGAAAAUGUCUCACUCGCAGCAUCACCCUUGACAGCUGUCUGCAGGCUCGAGGCUAAGAGACUUAUAAAAAUAGAUGAAGGUUGUGGUCGUUUGUGUUUGAUGGAGAUGGCUGAGAGAUUGUUUUCUCUGCUCACGUCCAGGGAAAUUCCUGAGACAUCCGUCUGCACAGAAAUGCAGUGCAGACCGCAGAAGCGCCUCCUGUCCACCAGAGGUCUUUACUGCAUCAUGGAGACAAAACAGGGGUGGGGGAUAAUUUGAGUUCCUCACAUUAUAGACCAAUUACCAUGUUUGUAAACAUUCAGGAUGCUCUCGCAGGGAGGUGGCAGAAAGAAACCGGGAGCGCUAGCAUUUACAGUGAGGGAAUGAAAUCUGAUGUGGUACAGAGUUUGUUGUCUUAGAAAUAAGAUAUAUUGAUUACACAUUAUAUAUAUUAUUUACAUAAUGCUUUCAGCGUAUUGUAACAGCUCGUCACCCAGUGAUAAGUACAGUGAUUCAGCAAAAUUAACGUUAAAGUGAGUGGCGUUCAUCUAACAGCUCCAUUUGCGAUAGCACGCUCCCAAUGGAUAUUGGAUAAGACCAAAUGACCAAGCAUCUAGCCUCACAUAUACAAUCUCAUUGAAGGUCCAAGUGAUUUUACAAGAGAGAAGUUAAAGAUCUACAAGUCUUUGGAUGCCAACAGUGUUGUGGUGUGUGGUCAUGUGCAUGAAAUAAUGCUCCAGGAUGACCAGAUUCAACACUAUGUAGUGCUAAAAACCGAGGUUCUGCUUAGCCAAAAACAAGGAAAGAACAAGAAUUAACGUUUUACAAGGCCAGAGUAAUUAAUCACCAACAUGCAAAACGACACCAUUCUGACAGCAAACUGCAGCUGUACAGCAGGGUAUGUGAACUUACACAUAGAGGUAAAGCUGGUUUAUUAUUCGCACAUUCAGACUUUUUCCUUAAUAAUAUAAUUUCAUCAAAGUAUUAUUUGCAAACUCUAAAUAGCGAAAUCAUAUUAGCAGCCAAUGACUAUCAAAGUACAACAUUGGUCACAGUCAAAUAAACAGUGUUAAUGUUGUUUUCAAGUCACACUGCAGGUUAUUUCAGACCGAAUAUUCAAAGGGCUGUGGUAAACGAUAUAGGGAGAGUGUCACAAGCUGUCACUGAAUGAAUAAGUGAAUAUAAAACCAAGUUUACCUUAAUAACUUACACUUUCACGUUUCAUUCUGAGCAUUCAGUGUCCGCAGUUUAAUUAACCAUAUUGAACUGUUUCUGCUGAAAUCAUUUCUGCAAUCAAAAACCAGUAAUGUGUCUGAUUCAGCAUAGCGUGAGCUUACCUGAUAUUACAGGAGAACUGCAGAGUCCAGCAUUUCUAAUUAGGUCGUCACUUCAUUCAGCUCCCUUUUAGCCAAAGACAUCUGCAGUUAGCCUUAAAGCAGUGUGGUGUACGGUAAACGUAAAAGUUUUCUAUUUUUGUACUCUCGAAUUUGGCAUCCUACCGCACAACACGACAUCUUUACUAUUGCAGCCUGUGUUUUUUUUGCAACCAGGGACCCGUGUUACGUUUUUACACUGCCUUUUCAUUCGUGUUAAACUGCGUGAUAUACUGAAUAUGGUCUACAGUCUGGCUUUAUUUUCUACUCUUCAUGCAUGUUAAACUGCUUUGACACAGUCUACAUUGUAAAAGAGCUGUAGAAAUAUAGAUAGACAUGUGUCAAUGCCUGAACUGAUACUUAUAAGGCCAAUAAACUGGCAAUAUAUUA